AGCGAAAUGCGAUACUUGGUGUGAAUUGCAGAAUCCCGUGAACCAUCGAGUCUUUGAACGCAAGUUGCGCCCGAAGCCAUUAGGCUAAGGGCACGCCUGCCUGGGUGUCACAAAUCGUUGCCCCAAUCCCCGCGCCGCUCCUUUGGGCGCCGGGCUGCGGGGCGAAUGCUGGCUUCCCGUGAGCGAGUGCCUCGCGGUUGGCCGAAAAUCGGGUUCGUGGUGGAGGGUAAGCGCCAUGACAGACGGUGGUUGAGUGCAAUCUCGAGGCCAGUCGUGCGCGGUCCCCUCCGCUAGUUACGGACUCCGUGACCCGUGAGCGGCACCGAUCGCCCAUGAUGCGACCUCAGGUCAGGCGG
rnacentral:rRNA from 1 species